rnacentral:rRNA from 1 species
UACGUAUGGUGCAAGCGUUAUCCGGAUUUACUGGGCGUAAAGGGAGCGCAGGCGGCGCGCCAAGUCUGAUGUGAAACCCCGGGGCUCAACCCCGGGCAUGCAUUGGAAACUGGCGGGCUGGAGUGCCGGAGAGGUAAGCGGAAUUCCUAGUGUAGCGGUGAAAUGCGUAGAUAUUAGGAGGAACACCAGUGGCGAAGGCGGCUUACUGGACGGCAACUGACGCUGAGGCUCGAAAGCGUGGGGAGCGAACAGG